AACACUGGAGGAACUGACUACGUCGCCACCGUGGAUGCCUUUUCCCGUGGCUUUCCGUUGUCACGAGGCUCGGUGGUUCAUACAAGCUUUCAGGACGGACGCUUCUGGAGUGUCGGACAGCUACCGGCUGAAGACUGCCCUCGAGGGCUGCAAGGCCCUGGCUCUGAGGAGUAGCCCUGAGUUCGAAUCGGAUUCUCUCUCCCUCCUCCAGAAGACAUAUGGCUCCAUUACCCGUGUCAUUCCAGUAGGCCUGCUUGCACCACCGAUCCGGCGCCACAAUUCCGACACCACCGACAACGACGACCUUACCGAUAUCCUGAACUGGCUAGACAAACAAGCCCCGAGAACAG
rnacentral:misc_RNA from 1 species